UACGUAGGGUGCAAGCGUUGUCCGGAAUUAUUGGGCGUAAAGAGCUUGUAGGCGGUUUGUCGCGUCUGCUGUGAAAUUUCGGGGCUCAACCCCGAACUUGCAGUGGGUACGGGCAGACUAGAGUGUGGUAGGGGAGACUGGAAUUCCUGGUGUAGCGGUGAAAUGCGCAGAUAUCAGGAGGAACACCGAUGGCGAAGGCAGGUCUCUGGGACGGUACUGACGCUGAGGUGCGAAAGCGUGGGGAGCAAACAGG
rnacentral:rRNA from 1 species